GAGGACGAUUCUCACCAAGCUGAUGAGCGUCCGCGUGGAAGUAAUGUUGUCCAGCUGGUGCGACGGGGGGAAUGUAAUUUCUCACGCAAAGCGUCAAACCACCGCCACGCCGAAGGUAUCAUUGUCAUUAACUCCAACCCCUAUGAGCUCUUUGUCAUGGCCGGCGAAAAGGUGCAACCUGGG
rnacentral:sRNA from 1 species